ACUAACUUUAUCCAAAUUAGGUAAGAGGUCGGUCUACAGCUAGUGCUCGGUUUUAAACUCUGCUUGCAUUUGAUCUGAAGUCUGAACCAAAACUCGUGCUAAUAAGUUUCGUUAUUAUUUGAAAAAUCUAACGAAUACAAGUAAUCGUUUACCUUUGAAGAUUAUGUUGAAAUGUGUCAUCACUCUUAAACCAUGGUAACACGAUAUUACUUCCAGGUCUGAGAACAACAGCCAUUUGUCUAUUCUUAAGCAUCUAAGAAGGUACCCAUUUUAUGAUAUGGCUUCAACUACGACAGUUGACAAUUCCAAAAGGAAAGAAAAAUCUCCUGAAGAGUCUAGUUGUAGAAAAAUUCCCCUGCUGUGCUUUGACAAACAAGACAAUGAAUCAUCAACAUGUGUGAUUUGCCUUGAGAUAAUCACGAACAAAUCUUUUGCAAACAAAUGCUUGCACAAGUUCUGCUUUGAGUGUUUGCUCAAGUGGUCUGAACAAAAAGCAGAAUGUCCAUUAUGCAAUGGACCUUUUACUGCAAUCAUACACAAAGUAAAAUCUGAUCAAGAGUACGAUGAACACAUAAUUGAGUCAAUACCAUCUGAAGAUGAAAUCAGUUAUCUGAAUUCUAUCGUUGACUUCUUUGAUUCCAACAUAAUAAGCACCAGCAAUUCCAGCACCAGCAAUUCCAGCACCAGCGAUUUAAGCACCAGCGAUUCAAGCACCAGCGGCUCAAGCACCAGCGAUUCAAAUGGAGCAUUAACAUUUUAGCUAAUAUAACCUUCCUUUGGCUGUGCCGAAUCUACAUCCAAUUCUGGUUGAGUGGUUAUUAAUACGCAUAUCAAGUGAAGGCUAUCGCCCCACAACGACGCAACUCAACAUUGACAAAAAGUUCAUCAACUGUUGUGAAAGGCAGAAAGAAUGAUGCGUUUCGCAUCGCGUUCCAUCAAGGUCAGCUUCAAAGUGUUUUCCAAAGUGAAUCCUGUCCGUUACCAAGGGAUGACUAAAAUUGCUGCAUGGAUCUACCGCCCACAUCUUUGACAUCUGGUUGUUUUCAAAUUUCGGAGGGUAAUAGCAUCCUGUCAGCAAAAUCUUGUGCAGAUCUUUGACAUCAAUUUCAGUCGAAUUAU